CACGUAGGGCGCGAGCGUUGUCCGGAAUUAUUGGGCGUAAAGAGCUCGUAGGCGGCCUGUUGCGUCCGCUGUGAAAGCCCGGGGCUUAACCCCGGGUCGGCAGUGGAUACGGGCAGGCUAGAGGUAGGUAGGGGAGACUGGAAUUCCUGGUGUAGCGGUGGAAUGCGCAGAUAUCAGGAGGAACACCGGUGGCGAAGGCGGGUCUCUGGGCCAUUACUGACGCUGAGGAGCGAAAGCGUGGGGAGCGAACAGG
rnacentral:rRNA from 1 species